GAGGGUUGGUUUGCUUCUAGGACCGGCUGAUUUUUCUCAUACACCGCUGCUCGUGCAAGUAGGAGAUACUGUGGAUUUGAAAUCACGAAACCAGGGCCCCAGUCCUGACUCGCGCCUAAACUGACAGUGAACACGCUGGUCCACUUCUGCCCUGAAUGGUCAUGCCAGAAAUGCUGGAGGAGCCAGAAUUCACAGGAGCUUGGUAUGUGCACAUGGUGACAAUAAGGACAAUGUUUUUGCUGCUGCUCAUGAUGAGGCUGGAGCAGAACUAAAUAAGGUCUCGAGUGACAACUGGGACAGACCCAGAGACCUGGAGCAGCUGUCGUUUCGGUCAGGGACGCAGUGCCAAUCUUUCCACAGCGAACUGGGGUUACCGCCACCUCUGCCCAAUUCAACAUUUACCCCUGUCAAUUAGAUAUUUACUGAGCAGAUUCCGUGUCAGUGACGGGGGAAGUGCAAACCGCGAGCGAUCCUUGUCCUGAAAGAGUUCACCUUCCACACGGGGUGUCGAAAUGGUGGUGUAAACAAGACGGCACAGAGCAACACAGACCCGGAUCAAGAACAGUGAGUUCAAGCACAAAAAGGAAGCACGGGGUGGAGAGGGCAUUGGACCCAGCCCCAGCACCAAGGCUGGGACCUCAGUAAGAGCAUUCUCUCUGUGGCCGGGCGCGGUGGCUCACGCCUGUAAUCCCAGCACUCUGGGAGGCCGAGGCAGGUGGAGUGUUC